rnacentral:rRNA from 1 species
UACGUAGGGUGCGAGCGUUGUCCGGAAUUAUUGGGCGUAAAGGGCUCGUAGGCGGUUUGUCGCGUCGGGAGUGAAAACCUCGGGCUUAACUCGGGGCUUGCUUUCGAUACGGGCAGACUAGAGGUAUGCAGGGGAGAACGGGAUUCCUGGUGUAGCGGUGAAAUGCGCAGAUAUCAGGAGGAACACCGAUGGCGAAGGCAGGUCUCUGGGCAUUAACUGACGCUGAGGAGCGAAAGCAUGGGGAGCGAACAGG